rnacentral:rRNA from 1 species
UACGGAGGGGGUUAGCGUUGUUCGGAAUGACUGGGCGUAAAGCGCGCGUAGGCGGAUCAGGAAGUUGGGGGUGAAAUCCCGGGGCUCAACCCCGGAAUGGCCUUCAAAACCCCUGGUCUUGAGUUCGAGAGAGGUGAGUGGAAUUCCGAGUGUAGAGGUGAAAUUCGUAGAUAUUCGGAGGAACACCAGUGGCGAAGGCGGCUCACUGGCUCGACACUGACGCUGAGGUGCGAAAGCGUGGGGAGCGAACAGG